AAUAAAUGAACAGCUGUGACCUCAUCACCUCUGCGGCCAGGACCUCCUUCCCUGUUCACUGUGAAGGCUCUGGUAGGGCUGGGCUCUACAUGAAAGCAGAGAUGGAGAUAAGCAGGCUGGACAGAGAUAAGAUGGCACAGAGGUUGGGCUUCCCAGGCCUUGCUGCUCUAGGCCUUGUUUGUGAUGGGCAGGAGUCCCCCGCAGCCUCUCAGCCCUGGCUGUUGCUGACAUCGUGCUGUCCGUGACACUUCAUUGGGCAGGCUCCAUAUGCAUUGGCCUCCUGGGAUCCAGGAAAGAAUAUUCAGGAUUAAAUAGCACGGCCUGACUCCUUCGUGAAAGCAGAGGUGUUGCGAGGGAUUUCCAAGCACAGCCAGUGAGAUAAAAUGGCAGCUUAAGCUUUACUCCUGCCAGGUGACCUGAGAUAGCUCACAAAAUGUGCCCUUUCCGUAGAAGGUUUGCACGGAGCAGUGGCUGCAGGAAGGCCCCAGAAGCUGUCUGAACCAGACAUAAGGCUUGGGGCGCUGCUGGCUGUGUUUUGCAGCUGCUCCUCAGUGUGCAGUUGGAGACAUAUGAAUUGUGUAGGUGAAGGAAGAGAUUUACCUAAUUUUGUUCUAGAUCGAAAGAGAGAAUAAAUUGCGUUGCUUAUUUUUUGAUGAAAGAGAAGGCUUUUGUGAUGGGUUGGCCUUUAAUGAGCUUUUUGUUCCACUGAGUACGCUGAGGUUUAGUGCAAACAAAAAUCCCGUAGUCUUGUUGGGGUCGAGCAGCUGCAAUGUGGGUUUUCAGAUGUGUAGACAGACCCUUGCUGGCCAUCCGAGGGUCUGCCCCCCGGCCCCCGCCCCGCCCCAGUGACAUUUCAGUGUUGUCUGCCGCCUGAGGAAUGUGUUUGAAACUCAGGGAGAAAAUCUGGAUCCUCCAUCGCUUGUAUUAUAUUUCUUUCUUUGCAUGUCUGUCAUUUUCAUUGGAACAUUCAGUGAAAUUAGGUCAGUUAUGGUUUUUGUUAGCAAUGCAGUUCUUGUGUUGUACACACAUCCUAUGAUGUUUCUAAUUAUCUCUGCUUUUUAACAUCCAUCUGAAACCAAAUCCUUAACUAUGCAUGGCUUGGAGGUGUCUCCCUCUCUCCCUCUCCUUUUUGUUUUGACUUCUUUCUGGGACUAAAAGGAAACUUAAUCUUGCAACAGCAAGAUAUCAUAUUUUUUGGUUUUACAGGUAGAUUGAAAGUCCAGGCUUAAGAGGGAAAGAUAGGGGUAAUUAAUGGUUAUACAGUUAUAAAGGGACAUUUUUGGAGUAAUUAAUUGGGUGAUUGUGCCUAUUCUAAGAACUAGAGUGAAGUUUAUCUUUGAACUUGAUAGCAACACAGCUGGAGCCUUGGAAAUGUCAGUGCUUUGCCUCGGGCCAAGAGCUCCGGAGGUUCUGUCUGGUGAGCUGUGUUCAGUUUCCAAGGGUAGGGAAGCAGUUGGAUGGGAGUUCUGAGGUUCUCGCCAUCUCAGUCUCUGCUGCUUGGCAGAGGGAGAAUCCGGGAAUAGCGACUGAGUGCAAGCCGGCUUGGGCUCUUCUUCUUCCUCUUCCUCCUUCUCUUCCUCAUCCUCUUCCUCCUCCUUCCUUUUUCUUCUUAAUUAAGUGCUGAUGGGACUGGUUGGGUAGGAGGUUAUAAGAAGCAUUCCCCUGGGGACUGGUGCUGUGGUAUAGGGGAAAGCUGACAUUUUGGACACCAGUUGACAUCCCGGCUGCUUCACUUCCCAUCUGACUCCCUUGCCAAUGUGCCCAGGAGAGCAACGAAGGAUGACCCAAGCUCCUGGGCCCCUGCACCCAUGUGGGUGACCUGGAAGAAACUCCUGGCUUCAGGUUGGCCCAAUUCCUGCCCUUGGGGCCAUUUAGGGGGUGAACCAGAGGAUGGAAGAUUCUCUCUCUCUCUCUCUCUCUCUCUCCUCUAUCUAUCUAUCUAUCUAUCUAUCUAUCUAUCUAUCUAUCUAUCUAUCUAUCUCUAUUUCUAUCUCUGUAACUCUUCCUUUCAAACAAAUGAAUCUUCAAAAAAUAGCAUUUCUCUGAUACCUUUUAACAACAAGACUGAUGCUCCUAAGUCUGGUUUAUCAGGUGCUGGGUCAGCCCAGCUGUUCAGCUGGGCCUCCUGGCAGCUCUGAGUGGCCUCUGAAUGCCUUCAGAUCCACAGCUCUGUGCAGAAACAGGACUUGGUAAUGGAUUCUUGGUGGAGCUCUUGCCAAGGACCCUAGGUGUGGAAGAAUCUCAGAAGUCCAAGAGUGAGAGUUGAUGCAUGGGAGAAAUCUAGAGAGAAUUCGCUUAGAACCACCCCUCCCUGCGCUUUUCUCUUCCUUCCUCUCAGAUGCUUUGAUUGAGUACUUAGCAGCUGCUGGGGAGAACAGUGAGCUGUGAGGACCAUCUGAGGAAAGAGUGGGAGAUGGUUCUUGCCCUUAAGGAGUCUACAUCUGGUGACGAGGACAUACAUGAGAACAAACUCACUCUUGUUCUGACCGAGAUACCGCAGUGUGGUGAACCGUGUCCAUUGAGAAGGUAUGUCCAAUACCUGUGCCUGUAAACUUGCUUGGAAAUACGGUCUUUGCGGGUGUGAUGAAGGAUCCUAGGACGUGAUCAUCUGGAAUUUAGGAUGCAACCUGAAUCUUUGCGUCCUUGUAAGAGAAAGCAGAGGGACCUCUGAGACACAGGGCACACACAGAGAAGCAAUUGCCCUGACCGAGGCAGAGACUGGUAUUUGCAAAGUCAGCUAAGAUUGCCAGAAGCAGCCAGGAAUUCACAAGCAAGGAUUCUCCCACGCAGCUUCCAGAAAGAACCAACCCACAGCAUGGAUUUCCAGCCUCUGACUGUGAGAGCAUGAGGUCCGUGGUAACAGCUGCCUGUGGCAGCUCCCACUCUCACAGGUAGGUGUAAAAUCUGUCCAGGAUGGAGCAAGGAGCUCCCAUGUCCAGGGUUCAGGGCAGGCUGCUCUGAGAGCUGCUUCCCAGGCGCCGGUGGGGAAUUCACCGUCAGUGUCUCCAGGAAAUGCUGAGUGAUUCAUUGUCACUAGACGAUGAGCAAUACAGAAAAACUGGAGCCCAGUGUGAAGACUUGGGAUGACAUGCUAGGGAUAUGGGCCUGGGUCUCGGCUGUUUGUCUUGAACCUCUGUGCUACAAUGCAGCGUACCUAUGCAGGACGUUUUUUAUGAAUAAUCAUGCUGAAUCUUCUCAAGUUACUUGAUUUACUCCCAGCUAGAGAAGACCUGAGCUUAUUAUGUGUCUUAUUUUAUGUCUUCAUGUAUCUUAUUUAAGAUGCAGAGACUGAAAUACACAGAGAGGGGCCAGUGCUGUGGCAUAGCAAGUAAGGCCGCCGCCUGCAGUGCCAGCAUCCCAUAUGGGCGCCGGUUUGAGUCCCGGCUGCUCCACUUCUGAUCCAGCUCUCUGAUAUGGCCUGGGAAAGCAGUAGAGGGUGGCCCAAGUCCUUGGGGCCCUGCACCUGUGUGGGAGACCUGGAAGAAGCUCCUGGCUCCUGGCUCCAGAUCGGCACAGCUCCAGCAAUGGCAGCCAACUGGCGAGUGAACCAGUGGAUGGAAGACCUCUCUUUCUCUCCAUCUCUGCUCUCUCUGUAUAACUCUGACUUUCAAAUAAAUAAAUAAAUCUAGAAAAAAAAAAGAAAGAAAUUCAGAGAGAGAGAGAGAGAGUGAUUCCAUCCACUGACUCACUUUACACAUGCACACAGCAGCUGGGGCUCGGCUGGAGCCAGGGGCAGGGGCCUCAGCUCAGGUCUCACCUGUGGGCUCAGGAAUCCCACCAUGUGAUCCUCUCAGGCUGCGCACGAGUGGGAGCCUGAGUCAGGAGCCAGAUCCGGGCACCGAGCCCAUGGCCUCCGAUGUGGGAGGGGGUCAUCUCAACCCCUAGACUAAAAGCCAGACCCAAGCCACCCAAGUUCGCCGACAGUUUAGAGAUCACCCAGGCUAUUGGUAUCAAUUCAUUGAAAUAACUCACGAGAGUAUUUAUUUAGAAGCUACUACAUGCCAGGAAUUCUUUUAGGAGCUGGACAUGAAAUAGUGAGCAACAACAGCAGAAAUGACAAAAUCUUUGCCUUCAUGGAGCAUGUGUUCUGCUGGAAAGGGUAAGCAAUGCAUAAGCAAGCAUCCUCGUGUUCUCUGGGAUGAUGCAUUAUGGAGAAAAUAAAAUAGGGUGGGGGACAGGUGAGCCAGUGAGCCGCUCACUGGGCCCAGAGCCAGGCUCCCUGGAGACGUUCCUCCUUCCAUCUGCUCAGGGCUGGAACACCGUGCCAAGCCCUGUUUAAAGGUUCUGCACCUAGUGUCUCAUUUAAUCCCCCAUUCAGUAGAGCACUCAUGAUUUUAUUACAAAUGGAAACUGAGCGUUAGACAUAAAAUAACUCCCAGUGUGUAUGGCAUCAUUGAAUCUAAUUCUUAAAGUGUUCUCUCUCGUUCGCACUUUCUGCAAUGGUUGCUUCUUACCCCGACCGUUGUCCUGAAAUUGUGUCCACUCAGUGGACCUCUUCUUGUGUGUGACAGCUCUCACAGGACACAGGGCAGAGACACGUCCAGCUUCUCUGGUGUCAGCAUUGCUCCUCCCAAUCACGAUCAGUGCUUCUCACUUGAGCUCUGAACCCCGGCUCCCUCGGCCUUGUUGGGUAGGGCUCUCCCUCUGGAAUCUACUCCUUGAUGGGAAAUGAGGAGGGAGGCUUAUGGGAAAAGAGUAAUUAUCCCAGCUGGGGCCUCCCUGACAGCUCUCAAAUGGGGCAGAGCUGCCAGGCUUCCCCGGGGACCUGGAGACUGAACCAGGCUCUGACAGCAUGCAACUCAGGAAGUCGUCCUGAGUGAACAGCCUUUCCCUCUGCAGCCAACAUCAGAAAUAAGAAAUCUUUCUACCCUGGAAGCCUGCGCUUGUCACCACUGAUUGUUCUCUCUCACACUUGCUGCUUCUGCUUUCUCCUGUAUCUUUACCAAAACCACUGUUGCACUGGUCACCAAGACGUUCUUGUUGAAAGAGCAUGAGCAUAUCCCAAAUUAUAUUUGUUUGACAAAUUUUAAUUUUUGAUUGACACAGAAUUAUUUACCUGUUUUGGGUGCAGCAUGAUGGUUCAGUGCAUGCAUUCAUUGUGUAAUGGUCAACAAUGGUGCAUUUUAUGUUCUGAAAUAGCCAGAAGGGAGGAUUUAUGUGCUCAUCAUAAAGAAACGCUGAAAGUUUAAGAGGAUGGACACGCCGAUUGCCCUGAUGUGACGUGUUUGUCGUAUUUCCUAAGUGUGUGGUGUGAAGGUGUUUUGGAACUGAGUGAGGUUAGUAGGGUUACACUGGGCUUGGGCAGGAUGGAGAUGCUCGGGUCACUGCAGCAGGAGUUUUCGUCUUUAAUUUCAAAUGCAGGGACUUCCUACAGGAGUUGUGUUCAGCUGAGUGUGUGACCCUCACUGGCUUCCCUGUAGCAUGCAUGCCCACAAGGAUGUCACCUGUCACCUGUCCCUUGUGAUGACCGGGGGCAAAAACCUGGUAGUGUGUGGAUGGGGAGGAGGCAUUUGCUUAGUAGCCCAUCAGAGACUUUGAUAUUUUUAGCAAUAUUCUUAGAAUUUUUCAGGAUGAUAAUUGUUAAAAAUCCCUGAGUGUGGAGGAACACAUAUUUUGACUCCUAGAGUUUUCUUGUCAGGGACCUAGAAUGAGAAAGUUUAGCCCUAUCCACACCUGGUUAGCACACACGUGUCUUGCAAACAUAAGGUGGUUUAUGAUGGAGUUGAUAUUAUUUAGCUUAGUUUCUUUUUUUUAAGAUUUUAUUUAUUAUUUAUUUGAAAGAGUUACAGACAGUGAGAGGAGAAAGAGAGAGAAAGGUCUUCUGUCUGUUGGUUCACUCCCCAGUGGCUGCAACAGUCAGAGCUGCGCCAAUUCGAAGCCAGGAGCCAGGAGAUUCCUCCUGGCCUCAUGUGGGUGCAGGGGCCCAAGGACUUGGGCCAUCUUCUACUGCUUUGUCAGGCCACAGCAGAGAGCUGGACUAAAAGAGGAGCAGCCAGGACUAGAACUGGUGCUCAUAUGGGAUGCCAGCUCCACAGGCAGAGGACUAACCUACUGCGCCACAGCACCGGCCCCCAGCUUAGUUCCUUAUAACCUGGUGUUGAGAGAUUUUUACUGCCCAUUUGGGGUCCCGUCAUUCAUCCUCUGUAUGAUGGUGCUGUGAGUCCGUCGUAGGCUUCAACUUGAGAUGUUUAUGAGGAUGGUUCCGAUUUUGAUGUAUUGAGUUCUCUUGGAUCAUUUCAGUGCUGGAGGGCCGUCCCUCCACCCUCACUGUGCACGUGUCUGCUGUGUACAGCCGGCCGCCCUCAGCAGGUGGGAGGCCUGGGGCACAGGAGAUCCUUGCCAGCGGCAGGGGAGUGAAUGCCGGGAGUGUUUAAGCUGUGAAUAUAUGAGGCAGAGCAAGGACAUUGCUAUGCUUCAGUGUUCAAUGCACAGUUAACUUUUUUUUGGCUUUGGGUUUGUGACUAAAUUUAAGUGUGAGAGGAUUUGGUGAGUGUGUAUACCUUCUGCAUGAAAAAAGGUGGUUUGAUGAUGCUAUGAAAUUUUUAUUCCUCCAGUCAGGUACAUGGCAAUUCACACGGUCUUAGGCCAUAAUCAUUACCUCAUAAAUGACACCGUGGAAAUGCGGCCACACACUUUGACCUACUUCAGUCAGUCUUAGAAUAACAGCUGCUGGUGCUCGGGAUGGAGAGCAGGUGUGGGACCACCUACAGCACCAGCCCCGAAAGCUUGCAUCAGCGUGAGCACAGGCGCAGCUUCCCAAGGUGCCAGCUGCCAGAGCCGGGAGGCAGGCACGCCAUCUACCUUUCACAAGCACUGAGGAGAUGGCCUGCUCCUGGUCACAGCAUCUGUGCUUCGGUGGUUGGGUGGAGCAGGAAGGGACACAGAGGAGGGGCAGCGGGAUGAAGCACGCUCUCCUGCGGGUCCCAGCAUCUGUCCUGAAGGAAAUGUCCUGCCUCCACGUGGAGCUGCCCGUCUGUGCCACGUCUUAAUCAAGGUCGCAUGGAGGAGUGCAGCUCCCUCUGAUGUACGCAGGAGUCGCUGUGCAGACACACCGUAUGUGUCUACACACAUGCAGCAUGGGAAGGAGGACCUGCAGAGGUCAGGGAUACACGUACGGCUUUCACGUGGCUGGGACUUGGGGCCUGGAUGCAGCGAAAGACAACGAUCCAGCCAAGAUGGUUUGUUGCGUGAUGGGGUAGCGCGAGCAGAGGUUGUGCAGAGGCAAAGCAGCUGGCAGUGUGUGUGCAGCGCAGGUUAAGUUCACUUCCUCCACGAGAACGCAAAUAUAUACAGAGAGAGGAAUACAUGGCUCUCCCACUUCUGAGAAAGACGCUAAGGUCGCUUGUGUACUUGCCCUGAUUCUGUUGGGUUGGAGAUCCAUGAGCCCAGGAGACACUGGUGUGCCAGGCUGCGUGUCAUCUGCCAUGGUGUCUGCUCUCCUCCAUGCUGGUAACAUCUCUCUAACCUGGGCCUUAUGGGCCUUGUUUUUGAUAUGAAGACUCUGCGGGGCCCUGCCCAGUCCCAGGGUUGGUGAGUGGAGAUGUAACCCAGGCUCUGAAAUGUUUAAAGACCGCCCAAACGAAAGAACGACUUUCAUAGUAGACGUUAUGGCUCAUUGAUUCUCUGUUUUAAUCUCGUGGGGUCCAGAGAUAGAGUAAAAUGACGGGGAGAAGUAACUUACUUGGCCAAAAGUUUUAAAUUUAUCACUUAGCUAUUUAUAUAUGUAUAUAUUUAAUUGAGAGGGAGAAAGAGAGAGAGAGAGAGUGAGCACUGCCAAUUGUUGGCCACUCCCCAAAUGCCUGCAGUAGAUGGGGCAGCCCACAGCUAGGAGCCAGGAGCUCGGUCUGCAUCUCCCACAGGCAGGGCAGGGACCCAAGUCCUUGAGCCACUACUGCUGCCUCCCAGGCAUCAAGAGCAGGGCCAGGACUUGAGCCCAGGCACUCUGAUAUGGGCUGCAGCUUCUAGACAGCCAGGGCCAAAUGCCACCCCUGCGACCUCUUAUUUGUGAUUUGUGCAGCAUUGAGGAUUAUCCUGAGACAUGGGGGAGGGACUUGGGGCUGAUGAUGGACAGUAACUCUUACGUAGGAACUAAGGUGGACAGGAGUCUUCCCUUCCGUCAGCUCCCACUGUUGCCCCGCUAGCUCUGGAAUGAGAAAACAUGUGCUGAGCCUUAGAUGGUGGGGGACGGCUCCUGGGAUAACAGGAUGAGCACCCUGGGAAGUCGCGUCAUUAUUUUCAGGUUGCAACCAGAAACCACUUAGUAAAUUACUGUUUUUAUUUUUUCUCUCAGAUCUUCAGCAGGCCCCCAGAUAGCCAGAGAGAAUGAAUACAACUUCCAAACACGCUUUACUAGUCCUUGGGACUGACAGUCUCUCAGGAGACGCUCUUUCCCUAUUCAGUUACAGACACAAGACUCCAAUGGCUGUGGCAAAGAGUGUGUGAAGAGGUAGCGUCGUAGCAUUGUUGGCUGGGUCCUGAUCCGGACUCCACUUCCACCUGGAGCCUGGAGCAGUAGCUCUGAUACUGCUGCCUUUGCAUUCCAUUUAGGCUUGCAAGCCUGUGCAGAAGUCCAUUUCCUCGAAAGGGACAAGGAGGCCCGCUUUCGUCUCUCACAGAGUGCUCUGCACAGGAAACAGGAAGGUGACAGGGUUAGGGCUUGAGGCAGGUCCCCGUGUGCACGGCACCCAGAUGCAAUUGCUCCUGAGGCGCCAAAGAUGGCUUACUCAAAGAGGCACGGGCGUCCUGUUGGUCCCGGGGAGCCAGGACUCUGGCAGUCUUGUGCAUUCCUGCGGGAUGUGUCUGCUUGUCCUGCUGGGAGAUGGGAAAGCGCACGGUGACAGUGACGGGGGAGGGGUCGCCUCCUGGUCACCUGGCAGCAUUGCUGCCAGCAGGUCCCUGAGUGAACUUGAGGAGCCGAGCAGUGUUUCGGGACAGAGGCACAGGGGAUGACAAAGACGAGCAGUCCCAAACCAGAGACGUGGUUCCCCUGGCUCAGGGCUGAGGGCGGCAGCGGGGCCUGGCGCGGGGCGAUGCAUCUUCGGGGAAUGCCGCCACGGUGCGCCCACAGCCGGCAGCACCUCUUGGCUGACUGUUGCUCAGAUGGAGUUGCUUGAGUCAGGGCAGGUGUCCCAGGUCCCUGGCCUGAUGUGUGCAUUACUGCCUCCCAGAGUCUCCGGAUCAUGGGGUGGUCAGCCUGUGUGUUACUUAAACACAAAACAACCAAGCUGCCAGAGGGUGAGCGCUGUGCCAAAUGUGGACUCACAGCCUAAGCCCCCAGGGACGAGGCCAGCCCGCACUGUCACCAGGGUGGCAAGGAGCAGCGUGGAGGAGACAGAAAAUGGGGCAGCCUGGGUCAGAGCUGGCAGAGGAGAGCGGCCACAGGGACGCGUUCCUCAGUGGUCGUGGUGGAGAGGCCGGCAAGUGCCUUAAAACAUUUCACUAAAAAUACUGACGUAUUUUGAAAGCGCAGAGAGGAGAGAUCUUCCAUCUGCUGAUUCACUCCCCAGACGGCAGCAAGAGCCAGGAGCUCUCAUGAGUCUCCACGGGGUUGCAGGGCCCCAGCAUGGGCGUCUCCCUGUUUUCCCAGUCCUUUAGCAGGGAGCAGCCAGGACUCCAACGGGCGUCCCACCGCGGGCGCCCCAGACUGUGGCUUUACCUUCCAUGCCACAGCGCCAACCCCCACGUAUUUCAUUGUUACGAUGUUUCGUGCAUGGAAUAUUUCAUUUGGCUGCGGAAAGUAAACCCCAUAAAAGCGCGUGAUUUCUGGUGGGCGAAACUGCAAGUAGUGAGUGCGGCAGCCGGGGAGGCCCCGGGCUGAGCAGGGAGGACGCGGGGCCCAGGAGGCGCCCGGGUAGCGGGUAGCAGGAGGAUCGCUGCGGGUGCGGACGCGCAAAGAGGCCGGUGUGGGAGAAGGCUGGGGCGCCCGGAUUCUGAGGGCCUUGCAAGUCUUUUCCCAGGUUGUCUUCCGGCAGUGCGCUGGCUGCGUCUCCGGGCGCGCGGCGGGGCCGACCUGGGCGCACGCAGGUGUCCAGGAGUGCAUGCCCCUUCUCCUCCUUGGGUCGUCCUGGCCUCCCCGGGCCUCUCGCCGCUGCGUUCCCACAGGAGCACCAGUCAGGUGUCCACACGUGGGUGCACACGCACCAUCAGACACACGCCCGAGGCUGAAGUCAGAUGCACCCCACCGCAUGCUCGCUGGCUCUGCGGGCCUAGGCUGCGCGGGGCUUGGUGGCUCGGGCGCAGCGUCCCGCGUGCUCCCAGGCCUGCCCUAGGCCGUGCCCCGCAGCCCGGCCUGCGGGACCCCCGCCACGCUCACGCUUUCCACACCAGCUCGGAAAGGCUCUUCGGUUCGUGUUUCAGCGCCCGCGGACCUUCGCCGUUUGUUCCCCUACUUGGAGAUGUUCUUGCCCGUUUGUUUAAACAAACAAUGACUCUGGAACCGGGAAGAAAAUUAGUAACAGGUGGAAGUUUAUUUUUCAUGAUGUUGAGGUCAAGUUGCUGUUUAAUUCACAGAGCAAACUCCCCCCACCCUCCCCGCGCCCCGUGUCUCUUUUAAUGUUUCCCAGUUAUUUGUAAAGGAAACGUACACAACCUCUGGACGUGCUCUGAGCAUCCAAGUGACCUCUGCAUUCUGCAUUUCUAGUGGAAUACAAGGGGCCUGGCUUCGUUCUGAUUUUUCCUUUGUAAUUUCUUGAAAGAAGUGUCUGGCACUAUAAAAAUGUACUUAGAACUGUCUUGGAGAUGUUUUUGUUUUGUGCUUGUUUAUGAAUCAAAGCUCUGUGUUUGGAAUGGUGUUGCUUUUACAAUUCACACUGAUGUUUGCUUUUGUUACGUAUGUUUGAGAUUAUAUAUCUGUUUCUCCGUGUUC